UGGAGUUGAAUAUUGCAUCAUCAGAAUUCAAUCUGAUUCCUCCUCUCUCCCUUUUGUUCUAGGGGAAACAUGUUUUCCUCCAGAGCACUAUUUUGGGGUCAGCAAACGGACGGGGUGAAAGUUGGUGUCUAGAGGGGUCGGCGAAAUUUUUCUUCCAGAGAGGCGGUGAACCGCCGGCAGCCGGUGGCCCUGCGCCCAGCUCCAUAUAUGCAAGGUUUCAGAAAAGAUUAUCUUCGUUGGACAGAUGAGGAAGCCAAGACCCAGAGAGGGAAGAUUCUUGCUCAAGGUCACACAGCAAGUUUGAGGACAUAUUACUCCGAGGAUCUGUUCCGCCUGAGAGAGUCUCCAUCUCAACCCAGCU